rnacentral:lncRNA from 1 species
CCAGGAUUGCCAGCGCAGCGAACGCCAUCGUCUGAUCUGAUCGCCGGAGCAGCUAGAUGAUCAAGGCUUUGAUAGCAUGUCCCUCUUUUAUUCUAGUUUACUUGUGGCCCUUGAGGAUGAGUUUCCUGGAUUAUGUAAUGCUGCUGGAUUAUGGUCUGUUAGCUUUCUUAAGAUUUUGCACUGUGGUUUGGCUACUGAGAUUUGGUGAGUUUGAUGAACCUGAAAGAGCUUUUGGUCCUAUUUAUCUCUGUUGUGGCCA